UAAGUUCUACACCCAACGUGGAGCUUGAGCUCCGAACCCUAAGAUCAGAGUUGCACGCUCUACCACCCGAGCCAGCCAGGCGCCUGCUCAUCUGGAGCUUCGUGAGAGUCACAGAGCGCACUGCACAUCUACCACGGGAGGUGGUGGAGAAACAGUUUACGACCACCUUUGCAAGACUUCAAGAUCUUGGUUGGAAGGACGCCUGGGUGGCUCAGUGGUUUGGCACCCACCUUCAGCCCAGGGUGUGAGUCUGGAGACCCAGGAUCGAGUCCCACAUUGGGCUCCCUGCAUGGAGCCUGCUUCUCCCUGUGUCUCUGCCUGUGUGUGUGUGUGUGUGUGUGUGUGUGUGUGUGUGUCUGAUGAAUAAAUAAAUAAAAUCUUUUUUUUAAUUUUUUUUUAAUUUUUAUUUUUUUAUGAUAGUCACAGAGAGAGAAAGAGAGAGAGGCAGAGACAUAGGCAGAGGGAGAAGCAGGCUCCAUGCACUGGGAGCCCGAUGUGGGAUUCGAUCCGGGGUCUCCAGGAUCGCGCCCUGGGCCAAAGGCAGGUGCCAAACCGCUGCGCCACCCAGGGAUCCUAAAAUCUUUUUUUUAAAAAAAGAUCUUGGUUGGAGAACAUUCCUGUUGGGGCUUAAGGUGGCAGGAACAGCUUGGGAAUUGGGGCCUGAGAAGUAGAGGCAAAGUGUUGUUUCAACAGUGGCCUGCAUCCCCGCAUCUGACUGGUACGUACUGAUACCUUCCUCUGACGUUACAACCUUAUAGCCUGGUAAGCCUGUGAAGCCUUCUGGGGUCUCCCAAACCCAGGGUUCCGGGACCCGAGGAGCGAACCCCAGCAGCCCAAAGGCAAACCCAAGCAGAAACCCCGGGCUUCCCUUCUCCCACUCCUCCCAGCCCUUGAACUGCAUCCCAAACCGCAGGGGUGAUGACUUAGCACCGCACCCAGGCCCUGGGCCGAGGAGCGCCUCUGAGGAGGGUGGAGGGCAAGCUGAGUGGGCCCCACAGAAAGAGCUUCCUUUCAUAAGCGGAGCUGGCGUGGCGGGAAGUGAGAGGACCGAGGCCCGGCUGGCGCUGGGGAACAAGGAGGGAAUGUCUGGGCUCCAGGCACCACCCACAAGGAGCCUGAGGGGCCGUCUUUGUGUCAGGCCUCCCAGGGGCCCCCUCCCACCCCAUCGGAGCAGGGCUGAGCCAGUGCCAGACAGCAGGGGAGCCAGAAGGAAAAGGCGGUCCAGGCCCUUGACCCAACCCCACGACAGAAGUGCCCUUGACACAAAGAUGAUGAACCAAGUCCUCUGCCAAUCACGUCUAGAAAGGGGGGGUGCUUGGAACCAGCAAACAAUGACGAGAGAGAGAAGUAAUGCUCAUGGGUGUCAUCCAACGAAGAAAGAAGCAUCCGCUGGCACCUGAGCCGGCACAGGAUGCACCUGCUGAGAGCAAGGUGGGCAUCACUACAGAGGACCCCGUCUGCAGGUCCCAUUAGAGUGGACGGAAGGCCAGGGAGGGGUGGACGGUCAAGGUCCAUGCCAGUCGUGGCAGCCGCAGGACCUGACCUGGGGGCCCAGCGGGCGACGGCGGGAGGAGGCCUCCAGCCAAGAACAAACAGCAGGAUCCAGGAUGGGGCUGGGCUGGGCCCACCCCACAAAAACCAGGAAAGUGCCUCUGCGGUGGGGAAAGUGGGCGGGGAGGAGCCAGCGGGGGGGCGAGGAGAGGCUCAGCUGUCACAGGACGACCUGUAGGGACCCGGACACCCCACCCGACUUCGGCUACCCAGUAGAUGUUCCUGUCUAGGGAAAGCCACCCUAGGCCCCCCGGGGUGAACAGCGCCAAUAAGCGUCUCCUUUUCCUUGGGGACGCUGUGCAGUCACCUGAAUGGGGCCUGUUGUCCACCGAGAAGCUGACUUUUCAGCUCGGUGGUAGAAAAAUGUGUGCACAGGGGCAGCCGGGCUGCGGCAAUAGCAGGAUUUCCUUCUUUUGAGGCUGAAUGAGAUGCUAAGUGACAACAGCCAGACCCAGAAGGACAAAUCCCGCGUGAUGCCACUGACAAGGGGAAACUAAAAUAGUCCAUCUCAGAAGCAGAAGUGGAGUGCUGGUUGCCAGGGCGAGGGGGAGGCAAAUGAGGACAGGAUGGUGGAAGUUCCAGGGCAGGCAGGGUGGGCAAGUCCUGGAGAUCUACCCUACGGCAGCGUACUGGUAGCCAACAGGAUUAUUUUGCACACUUGACAUCUUGCUAUGAGGGUUACUCUUAUGUUAAAUGUUCUUAUCACCAAAAAACAAAACAAACAAACAAACAAAAUACCACCAAGAGGGUGGGAGAGAACUUUUGGAGAUGAGGCUAUGUUGAAGGCAUUGACUGCGGUGACGAGUUCAUGGAUGCACACUUACCUCCAAACUCAUUGAGUUCUACACAUUAAGAAUGUUUACAUUGACAGGUACAAAUAGAGACAGCUUUUUGUGUGUCAAUCAUACCUCAAUAAAGUGAUAUUUUUAAAGAAAUAUGUGUACACUUCAGGGAAGGCCGUCAAGACCCUGUAGACGCGGCACUUCUUUGAGAGAAAUGCUCCUUUUCUCUCCCUGGGUUUGGAGAACCCUUUGCAGGAACUGUUGCUUACUCUCUUGUUUCGAAUGUGGGCUAUUCUGUUGUGUCGUCGUUGUUGUUGUAUUCUGUGAGUUGUUUCUUCCUACAGAUGCCCACCUCCUACCUGAGGAGAGGCUGUGAAAGCCACCAGGUUGUCCUUGAUGCCCAAAGGACUUGGAAGGGGCUGGUUUGGAUCACUGAGUCCUAUUGGAAGUUGCUGGGCAAGACCACGCCCCCCGAGCGAGGGGUGGCAUUCAGACUGUCCGUCCCCCUGGAAGAGGUCCAUCCUGGGGUGAGGAAACAAGGACCAAGAAGGGGGUAGGAGGCACAGCUUCCUCCCAUUGGUCCCUUCAAGGCUGAGGUUGGGCCCAGACUGCAAGGGUGGGAUUGGUUCAAGGGGACAUUGGUUCCCACCUCACAGAACCUCACAGGCCGGGAGUCAGACAGUGUAGGCUCCGGGCUGUGGGCGAAGUUCAUUUAUUCAGCAAAUACCCAUUCAGUACCCACUCUGUGCUGGUCACUGUCCUGGGGUUACUCUCUGUGUCAUACUCUCCUAAAAAUAGCACCUUGCCAAAUUCACAACCUGAAUGGAAUUGGGGGACAGGAGAGGGGAACAGGAAGGGGUCUGUGCCCACCUUGGGCAGAAGUUCCAGAAGCUACGGGAGGUAAUCCCACAGAGUCCCACAGUACUCACGACUCACCUCAGGGUUCUGGGGCAGGCCCUAGGCACCCAAGGCCCAGGGGCAUGGUGAGCCUCAGCCUGCCUGGGUUUCUGGGACGCACUGGGAUCCUCGGAAAACUCGAGAGGAGCCCCUAGAAAAGAAGCUGAUCUAGGAAAGCAAGACAAAAAUGCAGCCAUAAUGCAGGGGAGGUACGAACACAUAUAGGAGGCCUCACCUGUAGGCGAUGGUUGGGGCCUACCGGCUACAACAGGAAGGAUAGUCUGUUUCUGAAGGAGCAUGAAAGGAGGAAAGCAGUACAUCCAAACACACACACACACACACACACACACACACACACACACACAACCUAGUUCACAAAAUCUAAAACCUCCUACCGGGACCGAUGGCAGAUACGUCUGCAGCUCUCAAACCCCAUAAAACGGGAAAGGGUUCUUGACACGUGGGUGACACAUUCUACUUGGCCCCCAGUCCCUGGCCCCUCUGCUGAGGAAGUUGGUCUGGGAACAACCAGGAGACCAAGAGGAAGUGACAGCUGCAGCCGGAGAGCCGGGCCACCAAGCAGCAGCUCGAUUUGCCGUGACCUACAUCCCGCUGUUUCCCCCUCGCAGUGAGUGGUGUGGCCACAACCACGGGGGCAGCCGUGUGUUUGUUCCCUUGGCCUA
rnacentral:lncRNA from 1 species